rnacentral:rRNA from 1 species
CAAUAGCGUAUAUUAAAGUUGUUGCAGUUAAAACGCUCGUAGUCGGAUUUCGGGGCGGGCCUGCCGGUCUGCCGAUGGGUAUGCACUGGCAGGCGCGUCCUUCCUGCCGGAGACUGUCCCUACUCUUAACUGAGCGGGGUCGGGAGACGGCUCUUUUACUUUGAAAAAAUCAGAGUGUUUCAAGCAGGCAGCUCGCUCUUGCAUGGAUUAGCAUGGGAUAAUGAAAUAGGACUUUGGUGCUAUUUUGUUGGUUUCGAACACCGAAGUAAUGAUUAACAGGGACAGUCAGGGGCACUCGUAUUCCGCCGAGAGAGGUGAAAUUCUCAGACCAGCGGAAGACGAACCACUGCGAAAGCAUUUGCCAGGGAUGUUUUCACUGA